UUCUCCGGCAACAAGGCCAUAUGCGGAAACAAAGUCGCCUCGGGUGAAACUGCCCCGUGACGCUGGCACAAGGACCCCUGUUUUAGAAGCGCCGGGCGCCGCGAAUAGCAAGCGUUGUGCAUCCGGAAAAAGUGGAUGAGACGGCCAAGAGGAACACCACCGUUCGGGCCAAGUACCAUCCUUUUCCUGGCAAUUUUUCUUAGAGGCUGAUGUCUCUUCUACAAAUAACGUAAAUGGCGGCAAAAAUUGCGGGCCUCAAGUCCCGCGAAAACGCUUAAUUUCUAUCUACACUUUGAAUGCAGCGCCUGGAUAAACGGAAACACUGUGCUGGUAGGACCUGCAGACCCCAACUAUUUAUCUCCAUGUGCUUAAGUUCUACAGAAAUUAGCCCUUCUUUGAGCAUCCUGUGCAUCUGAAGCGUCUGACAACGAUAGUACGUGCCAGUGGUGUCGCGAAACAGGAACAUAAUUUACAUACAUACAGAAAUGAGCAAAUAAACCAAACACAUAAAUUAUCCUCAAAUCUCAUAGAGCAUGUACAAGCAAAUAAAGUAAAAAAAUAUAGCAUCGCUGUCUUUCCUCUGUAGCCCGAUCCUUCAAUGAGCGAAUAUGUGCUCAGCGUGCAAGAAUAGGCAGUAUAGUCGAAGGACGCGGAAAAAAAAAAUAACGAACACGUGUAGUGGCACAGCUACGCUGCAGGCUGUCUCGGAGAUUGUGCCUGCUCGAGAUUUCAGCUUACACAUGCCAAGAAAACAUUAAAAGAUCGAUCUGAGUGUUGCGACAGGGUAUGGCAUAAAGAAUAACAAAGAAAGCUGGGCCAAUUGAAGAUGCACACAAAUACGGUAUACUUAGUGCAGGUACCAUCACAGAUACCAUUGUGCCAAGCCGCCGACUUCAACCAUCGCAAAACAAAGUGAUGGAGCACUUUGCCCAGAGGUUUGCUGUGCUGUUGCUGCCCCAGGAGUCCGCAUUAGCAACCGAAGACGCACGGGAAGACGGCCAUCACACAAUUUUUUUUCUUGUGAAUUAAUUCGAUCCUGUGGUCGCCAUAAUGCGCAACUAAUAGAGUGCGUGAAUGUUUACUCUCGAGGCUUAUUUUAUUAGUUUGACUGUAUAACGGCAUAAUUUCAUCACUACCACGUCGUUGAUACAAGUAAAAUCAUUCGUGGACUGUUCUGCAGCCUCACGUAAUUUCGUA